rnacentral:rRNA from 1 species
GAGUUUGAUCGUGGCUCAGGAUGAACGCUGGCGGCGUGCCUAACACAUGCAAGUCGAACGGAGUUCUUAAGGAAUGCGGCUUCGGCCAAAUGACUUUUGAACUUAGUGGCGGACGGGUGAGUAACGCGUGAGCAACCUGCCUUUCAGAGGGGGAUAACAUUUGGAAACAGAUGCUAAUACCGCAUAAGGUUACAGUACCGCAUGAUACAGUGAUCAAAGGAGCAAUCCGCUGAAAGAUGGGCUCGCGUCCGAUUAGAUAGUUGGUGAGGUAACGGCUCGCCAAGUCGACGAUCGGUAGCCGGACUGAGAGGUUGAACGGCCACAUUGGACGUGAGACACGGCCCAGACUCCGUACGGAGGCGAGCAGUGGGGAAUAUUGCACAAUGGGCGAAAGCCUGAUGCAGCAACG